rnacentral:rRNA from 1 species
UUUGAUCAUGGCUCAGAAUCNACCGCUGGCGUGCGUGCCUAACACAUGCAAGUCGAACGGGAAAGCACUUUUCGGAGUGCGAGUAAAGUGGCGAACGGGUGAGUAACGCGUGGGUGAUCUACCCUUUGGUGGGGGAUAACCCGGGGAAACCCGGGCUAAUACCGCAUAAGCCUGAGGUGGUCGACAUUUCAGGGAAAGUUUCUGGAUGCCGAAGGAGGAGCCCGCGUCCGAUUAGCUAGUUGGUGAGGUAAGAGCUCACCAAGGCGACGAUCGGUAGCCGGUCUGAGAGGACGGACGGUCACACUGGGACUGAGACACGGCCCAGACUCCUACGGGAGGCAGCAGU